rnacentral:sRNA from 1 species
UUGAUGACUUUAAUGUAGCUGUCUUCGC